rnacentral:rRNA from 1 species
AUUGAACGCUGGCGGCAUGCCUUACACAUGCAAGUCGAACGGUAACAGGUCUUCGGAUGCUGACGAGUGGCGAACGGGUGAGUAAUACAUCGGAACGUGCCUAGUAGUGGGGGAUAACUACUCGAAAGAGUGGCUAAUACCGCAUACGACCUGAGGGUGAAAGCGGGGGAUCGCAAGACCUCGCGCAAUUGGAGCGGCCGAUAUCAGAUUAGGUAGUUGGUGGGGUAAAGGCUCACCAAGCCAACGAUCUGUAGCUGGUUUGAGAGGACGACCAGCCACACUGGGACUGAGACACGGCCCAGACUCCUACGGGAGGCAGCAGUGGGGAAUCUUGGACAAUGGACGCAAGUCUGAUCCAGCCAUGCCGCGUGCGGGAAGAAGGCCUUCGGGUUGUAAACCGCUUUUGUCAGGGAAGAAACGCUCUGGGUUAAUACCUCGGGGUAAUGACGGUACCUGAAGAAUAAGCACCGGCUAACUACGUGCCAGCCGCCGCCGUAA